rnacentral:rRNA from 1 species
CACUGUCACUCCUACGGGAGGCAGCAGUGGGGAAUCUUGGACAAUGGGGGGCAAACCCUGAUCCAGCCAUGCCGCGUGAGUGAAGAAGGCCUUAGGGUCGUAAAGCUCUUUCGCCUGUGAAGAUAAUGACGGUAGCAGGUAAAGAAACCCCGGCUAAACUCCGUGCCAGCAGCCGCGGUAAUACGGAGGGGGUUAGCGUUGUUCGGAAUUACUGGGCGUAAAGCGCGCGUAGGCGGACCAGAAAGUUGGGGUGAAAUCCCGGGGCUCAACCCCGGAACUGCCUCCAAAACUCCUGGUCUUGAGUUCGAGAGAGGUGAGUGGAAUUCCGAGUGUAGAGGUGAAAUUCGUAGAUAUUCGGAGGAACACCAGUGGCGAAGGCGGCUCACUGGCUCGAUACUGACGCUGAGGUGCGAAAGUGUGGGGAGCAAACAGGAUUAGAUACCCUGGUAG